UACAGAGGUGGCAAGCGUUGUUCGGAAUUACUGGGCGUAAAGGGCGCGUAGGCGGUCUUGUAAGUCUUGUGUGAAAUCCCUCGGCUUAACUGAGGAACUGCACGGGAUACUGCGAGACUUGAGAUCGGGAGAGGGAAGCGGAAUUCCGGGUGUAGCGGUGAAAUGCGUAGAUAUCAGGAGGAACACCUGUGGUGUAGACAGCUUACUGGACCAUUUCUGACGCUGAGACACGAAAGCGUGGGUAGCAAACAGG
rnacentral:rRNA from 1 species